rnacentral:rRNA from 1 species
CCCUUAGAUGUUCUGGGCCGCACACGCGCUACACUGAAGGAGGCAGCGUGUACUCCUGGAUCGAAAGAUUUGGGUAACCCGCGAAUCUCCUUCGUGCUAGGGAUUGAGGUUUGCAAUUAUCCUUCAUGAACGAGGAAUUCCCAGUAAGUGCAAGUCAUAAGCUUGCGCUGACUACGUCCCUGCCCUUUGUACACACCGCCCGUCGCUACUACCGAUUGAAUGAUUUAGUGAGGACUUCGGACUGGGACCGAUGCGGCUUUCGGGCUGCGUCGGUAUUCUGGAAAGAUGUCCAAGCUGUAUCAUUUAGAGGAAGUAAAAGUCGUANCA